AGCCCUGGGCUCCCCCAGUGUUGCCUGGAUCUGACUUUGCCUCAGUGAAAACCGCCUCGAGUUCUUUCUUGCACCGAUGGGCAGAUAGUGUCAGAGGAUCGUGUCAUCUGUCCUGUGG
ensembl:misc_RNA